rnacentral:rRNA from 1 species
GUGGGGAAUAUUCCGCAAUGGACGAAAGUCUGACGGAGCAACGCCGCGUGAGUGAUGACGGUUUUCGGACUGUAAAGCUCUGUUGUUUAGGACGAAAGUGCCUGUUGCGAACAGUUACAGGUAUUGACGGUACUAAACGAGGAAGCCACGGCUAACUACGUGCCAGCAGCCGCGGUAAUACGUAGGUGGCAAGCGUUGUCCGGAAUUAUUGGGCGUAAAGAGCAUGUAGGCGGAGAUUUAAGUCUGUUGUGAAAAUGCGGGGCUCAACCCCGUAUUGCGAUGGAAACUGAAGUUCUUGAGUGCAGGAGAGGAAAGGGGAAUUCCCAGUGUAGCGGUGAAAUGCGUAGAUAUUGGGAGGAACACCAGUGGCGAAGGCGCCUUUCUGGACUGUGUCUGACGCUGAGAUGCGAAAGCCAGGGUAGCGAACGGGAUUAGAUACCCGAGUAGUCC